CCCCUACGUGGGGCAGCAGUGGGGAAUAUUGGGCAAUGGGCGCAAGCCUGACCCAGCAACGCCGCGUGAAGGAAGAAGGCUUUCGGGUUGUAAACUUCUUUUCUCAGGGACGAAGCAAGUGACGGUACCUGAGGAAUAAGCCACGGCUAACUACGUGCCAGCAGCCGCGGUAAUACGUAGGUGGCAAGCGUUAUCCGGAUUUACUGGGUGUAAAGGGAGCGUAGGCGGCAGUGCAAGUCAGAAGUGAAAGCCCGGGGCUCAACUCCGGGACUGCUUUUGAAACUGUACAGCUUGAUUGCAGGAGG
rnacentral:rRNA from 1 species